rnacentral:pre_miRNA from 14 species
UUUUGAAAGUUAAUUCAUGAGUAAUGGUGAAAGACCCCCGGAGUUGGGAGACCCUCACUCAAGUCUCGGGAUGACGCGAUCCCCCAAGAACUCAAACAAGAUG